rnacentral:lncRNA from 1 species
CCCUUUCCUCUCUCACCGAUGCGUAGAGCCUAGCUAUCAUCAUCAUCCUUAGAACUCGACGAUGCAAAUACCACUUCUCCUACGCCACCUUAGCCUCGCUACCAUUGUCUCCCACUUGUAAAGAGGAUAAGAUCAAGGGCAGCAUUCUUAUCCCCUCUACGGCUCCCAUCGACAUGCAGCAACACCCACGAGGAGGACCAUUGCCACUGUCUUUGCUUGCCAUGGCCGC